CGACAGUAAAGGCACCACUGUUGACUGUCAGGCUACCACAUCCAAGAUCUGUGAAAACUAAGUAGCAAAUAUGGUUACGUUUGGCUGAAAACGGACAUGAAAACCUUGACGGUAACGUCAACGGAAUGGUGUGAGUUAUAGCCUACACAGUGCGCGCUGAGUAUCUACGCUCUUAGUACCAAAAUCUCAAUCACUGAACCGUUUGGGCAACGUCUCAUGCCUCUCCAGAAAACGGAGCUCUCCAGAUAGUUCUGGAUCUCUCUCUCUCUCUUCGCCUGUAUAGUGGAUCUGGAUAUGGGAUAGUGAUCUACCAAUGGGGGUGGUAGGGAUCUGGUGAUGGGGGAUCCAGUGGAGGGGUCUUUUCUGUAUGAUGGUCAGAGACACUCUGGCAGGAACCACAGUGGAACCAUCACAGAACCACACAGCACUCUCACAGAACCAGGAGGGAACCCAGCAGCUUCCGGGGGAAACCCUAGAAAACCUAGAACAACAGAACCGAGUUCUAGAGCAACAGAACCAACUCCUAAAACUCGAGAACCUAGACCUCCUAGGUCAACAGAAUGAACUCUUAGAACAACAGAAUGAACUCUUAGAACAACAGAAUGAACUCUUAGAACAACAGAAUGAACUCUUAGAACAACAGAAUGAACUCUUAGAACGAGAGACUCCGGUCCAGACCAGCACAGACAACCAGACCAGACCUCCAGACCAGACCAGUUGUGGCGGUCCUCUCCAUCCCUGGUGGCCUCAACAGAGCAGCUUUAGAGCGGCUAUACCUCUCCCCUGGCCAAGCCCCGGAUCCUGCCUUCUCCCCAUCCCUCUCCCCUGCCUCAGACCCGACCCCAUCCCAGACCCCUGGACCACACACCUCCGGACCUUCUCCAGCCAGCAGGAGUAUGUUCUAGUCCUACGCACACAUCGUCAGCUGCUUCACAGUGGCUACUACUGGGGCCCUAUGGGGAUGGAAGAGGCCCACAACACGCUGCUACUCACACCGCCUGGGAGCUUCCUCAUCAGGUAUACACCACACGCUGCUACUCACACCGCCUGGGAGCUUCCUCAUCAGGUAUACACCACACGCUGCUACUCACACCGCCUGGGAGCUUCCUCAUCAGGUAUACACCACACGCUGCUACUCACACCGCCUGGGAGCUUCCUCAUCAGGUAUACACCACACGCUGCCACUCACAUCGCCUGGGAGCUUCCUCAUCAGGUAUACACCACACGCUGCUACUCACACCGCCUGGGAGCUUCCUCAUCAGGUAUUCACCACACACUGCUACUCACACCGCCUGGGAGCUUCCUCAUCAGGUAGACACCACACAUUGCUACUCACACCGCCUGGGAGCUUCCUCAUCAGGUAUACACCACACGCUGCUACUCACACCGCCUGGGAGCUUCCUCAUCAGGUAUACACCACACACUGCUACUCACACCGCCUGGGAGCUUCCUCAUCAGGUAUACACCACACACUGCUACUCACACCGCCUGGGAGCUUCCUCAUCAGGUAUACACCACACGCUGCUACUCACACCGCCUGGGAGCUUCCUCAUCAGGUAUACACCACACACUGCUACUCACACCGCCUGGGAGCUUCCUCAUCAGGUAUACACCACACUCUGCUACUCACAUCGCCUGGGAGCUUCCUCAUCAGGUAUUCACCACACACUGCUACUCACACCGCCUGGGAGCUUCCUCAUCAGGUAGACACCACACAUUGCUACUCACACCGCCUGGGAGCUUCCUCAUCAGGUAUACACCACACGCUGCUACUCACACCGCCUGGGAGCUUCCUCAUCAGGUAUACACCACACACUGCUACUCACACCGCCUGGGAGCUUCCUCAUCAGGUAUACACCACACACUGCUACUCACACCGCCUGGGAGCUUCCUCAUCAGGUAUACACCACACGCUGCUACUCACACCGCCUGGGAGCUUCCUCAUCAGGUAUACACCACACACUGCUACUCACACCGCCUGGGAGCUUCCUCAUCAGGUAUACACCACACGCUGCUACUCACACCGCCUGGGAGCUUCCUCAUCAGGUAUACACCACACACUGCUACUCACACCGCCUGGGAACUUCCUCAUCAGGUAUACACCACACACUGCUACUCACACCGCCUGGGAACUUCCUCAUCAGGUAUACACCACACACUGCAACUCACACCGCCUGGGAGCUUCCUCAUCAGGUAUACACCACACACUGCUACUCACACCGCCUGGGAGCUUCCUCAUCAGGUAUACACCACACACUGCUACUCACACCGCCUGGGAGCUUCCUCAUCAGGGACAGUCGUCAGCUGGACGUCUUCUUCACCCUCAGUUACCACGGCGACCAGGGGCCCACCAGCGUCCGCGUCCUCCUAAC